GACGAACGCUGGCGGCGUGCUUAACACAUGCAAGUCGAACGCUGAAGCUUGGUGCUUGCACUGGGUGGCUGAGUGGCGAACGGGUGAGUAAUACGUGAGUAACCUGCCCUUGACUCUGGGAUAAGCCUGGGAAACUGGGUCUAAUACUGGAUACGACAUGUCACCGCAUGGUGGUGUGUGGAAAGGGUUUUACUGGUUUUGGAUGGGCUCACGGCCUAUCAGCUUGUUGGUGGGGUAAUGGCCCACCAAGGCGACGACGGGUAGCCGGCCUGAGAGGGUGACCGGCCACACUGGGACUGAGACACGGCCCAGACUCCUACGGGAGGCAGCAGUGGGGAAUAUUGCACAAUGGGCGGAAGCCUGAUGCAGCGACGCCGCGUGAGGGAUGACGGCCUUCGGGUUGUAAACCUCUUUCAGCACGGAAGAAGCGAAAGUGACGGUACGUGCAGAAGAAGCGCCGGCUAACUACGUG
rnacentral:rRNA from 1 species